rnacentral:rRNA from 1 species
UGGGGAAUAUUGCACAAUGGGCGCAAGCCUGAUGCAGCCAUGCCGCGUGUGUGAAGAAGGCCUUCGGGUUGUAAAGCACUUUCAGCGGGGAGGAAGGCGUUAAGGUUAAUAACCUUGGCGAUUGACGUUACCCGCAGAAGAAGCACCGGCUAACUCCGUGCCAGCAGCCGCGGUAAUACGGAGGGUGCAAGCGUUAAUCGGAAUUACUGGGCGUAAAGCGCACGCAGGCGGUCUGUCAAGUCGGAUGUGAAAUCCCCGGGCUCAACCUGGGAACUGCAUUCGAAACUGGCAGGCUAGAGUCUUGUAGAGGAGGGUAGAAUUCCAGGUGUAGCGGUGAAAUGCGUAGAGAUCUGGAGGAAUACCGGUGGCGAAGGCGGCCCCCUGGACAAAGACUGACGCUCAGGUGCGAAAGCGUGGGGAGCAAACAGG